rnacentral:rRNA from 1 species
UUAUUUGAGAGUUUGAUCCUGGCUCAGGAUGAACGCUGGCGGCGUGCCUAACACAUGCAAGUUGAGCGAUUUACUUCGGUAAAGAGCGGCGGACGGGUGAGUAACGCGUGGGUAACCUACCCUGUACACACGGAUAACAUACCGAAAGGUAUGCUAAUACGGGAUAAUAUAUUUGAGAGGCAUCUCUUGAAUAUCAAAGGUGAGCCAGUACAGGAUGGACCCGCGUCUGAUUAGCUAGUUGGUAAGGUAACGGCUUACCAAGGCGACGAUCAGUAGCCGACCUGAGAGGGUGAUCGGCCACAUUGGAACUGAGACACGGUCCAAACUCCUACGGGAGGCAGCAGUGGGGAAUAUUGCACAAUGGGCGAAAGCCUGAUGCAGCAACGCCGCGUGAGUGAUGAAGGCCUUCGGGUCGUAAAACUCUGUCCUCAAGGAAGAUAAUGACGGUACUUGAGGAGGAAGCCCCGGCUAACUACGUGCCAGCAGCCGCGGUAAUACGUAGGGGGCUAGCGUUAUCCGGAUUUACUGGGCGUAAAGGGUGCGUAGGCGGUCUUUCAAGUCAGGAGUGAAAGGCUACGGCUCAACCGUAGUAAGCUCUUGAAACUGGGAGACUUGAGUGCAGGAGAGGAGAGUGGAAUUCCUAGUGUAGCGGUGAAAUGCGUAGA